UUAUGGAAUAUCAUCGAUACCAUUUUAACGGAUCAAAAUCAUGAGUUGAUAUCCUACCUGCAUAUUGAAAACUGCACAUGCAGCAACCCUGUCUGUAUAAAUUCCAGAUUUCAUAGAGCACAGCUACAACAACCUGUCGUACCGAUAUCGCCACCAUGGCCAUUGUCGUAGGUGAAUUGAUAAGGAGCCGACGUUGUGAUGACGCUUGGAUGAUGAUGACGAUGCACCCGUUGCCCUGUCAACAGACGACCUUCAGCCCCCGACUGAUAAGCAACCCUUAGGCAAAAAAGCACACUACCCAGUCACCCUGCACCCUGUACAGUUGACGCGGGUACAAUAUUAUCCAUUUCGCGAUAUUACCUGAACACGGCCGACGGCUACGCGACAGCCCACGGAGCCCGCCGUUGCAAAAAUAGGUCACAAAUUGGCACACAGUCGAAACGGACACAAACACAACCAUCUCCGCAGCCGUGGAAGGUUUACUUAAAACCCUUAGAUACAGCAAAGAAUGGCUAGUGCAACUUCCAGCGUCAUCUAUCUGAUGAGGACGGUGCAACGUAGUGGGUAUAUAAAAGUCUGUUUAAUGAUUCUGGGCUUUUUACCUUUUCCAGACAAAGCACGGACAUAAGUUUUGCGAACCAGACAUCGCGAACGAGCAGCGCGGUCCAGACAAAGUAAAGCCUUGAUGAUAUGUGCCUUUGAUUUAAUGACGCAUAGUCACGAUGUCGCUUGAUGUCGCCGCAAUGUUAGGUGAGAACUCGCAAUUCUGGCGAGAAGGAAUUGAAUGGGUAGCGCGAGAGUGGCAGUAACAAGAAACCACAUGCUUCACAUAUUUAUUGCUAAACACACAAGGUCAAGGCUCACAGACAGUGCUACAACGAAGCAUUUCCGGCAGGUAGCUCGACGAUGACGAUCUAUGAUGCAGAGAGUUAGGUAAAAAAAAGUAUGGCCUGCAUUCUUCUGCAAUAGAUCAUCACUCAUACACGUAUUAUAUUUAAUGCUAAAAUUCAACCCAUCUUGAAUCAUUCAAAACAUGAAAAUUCAGAGAAAAAAUGUAUUCAAAAGCAGACUUGUAACAAUAGAAGGGCAGAGUAAAUGAUCGCCCCAGCAAACGAGUUAGUACUGUGUUAGCCUGUCGCUUCAUAAUUAUAUAUAAUUCCAAACUAUGAGCUCGCUGUAGGGACAGCAUUUUCGCUAACCUCAAACGGGCUCUGUUCGGCUACGCUUUAAUCUUCCGCACUGCCGCCACCUCUGGAGCGAAAUUUAAUUACGGAAAAUAAUAGAAUCGAAAUUGCAUUAAGCCCCUCUGCAUGCUAUGGGCGGCAGUGUUCAUUUUAACUCCAUUGUUACAUAUAGAUGCUGUGCCCGUGUGCUGCUUCUACUGCUGCUGCUCCCAAAAGGGUUUAGUCUCGAAAGGGUUUCGCUUCUGUCACGCCUCUGAGAGCCCUCUGUGAUUCCGGUUCGACACAUAAUAGCUGCGGGAAUUUUGCGUGCACUUUUGCAAAAAUCAGAUACCCAUUUUGCCUCAUCUUGAAGCAUACCGAGGCACGCAACAUUACACAGUGGAAAAUUUUCUCCAAGCAAGCGUCCACAAAGACCGGGUAGAGGUAAACAACACCAUCACACAAUUAGCCGACGUGUGGGUUGCCAUUGCCGCUUGUUAAACUCUUCAAAGACCUUUCUGGCAAACACGUGGGCAAUAAGCUUUGUAAAUAGGAUAAUUUUUGGCCCUAUAAUAAAUAUUUAAGCAUACACAAACAUAUGUAUUUUAUACAAUCAUACAUUUUUUUA